GUGGUUGUGAUAGUGAAAUAAGAAAAUGUGAGUAAAAGUCCUUUGGAAACCAUGGCAGCACUAACCCUAUGCCGGGGAUUCUUACUGCUGCUAUAGUUAUUGCCACUGAUCGUAAAUAAAUCAUGUUGUUUUCAGACAUCAUCCCAUAAGCCCUGGCCAUCUAAAGGUUUUCUUGCUGCAACAAGGAAAUGGCAACUCACUCCAGUAGUCUUGCCUGGGAAGUCCAUGGAUAGAGGAGCCUGGCAGGCUGCAGUCCGUGGGGUCUUUGCAACUACACCACCACUCUGCAAGCCAGCAGAGUGCAACCCAUAUCUUUGUCCUAGAGAUGUGACAGACUAUGUGGGUGAGCGGAAGAGACCUCAAAGCCACUUCCUAACAGCUCAGGGUCUCACAGCUUCCCAAAGUAACCAGGUGCCGAGACAGAUGACCCUACAAAACCAGUCAGGGAUGUCGGAGGAGGAACUGAGACUAUCGUGCGUGCUCGAUCAGGGAGGUGAAAGCUCACGGUAGCGCCACAGGCCAAGCUCCACCACCGGCUAAAGGUUAAGAAGCAGCUGUAGCCUUCAAGCAAGGCCAAGGCUGGAGGUCCCUAUGCUUGGAAGAGGCUGCUACGAGGCUUCUCUUUGCCUGGAAUCCUUGGCAAAACUGCAGAAAGCCCAACUGGGAAGCUGCACCACGCAGACUGGGGCCAUUCUGGGCCAGACUGAGUUAGCCACCACGCUGCAGCUGUACUGGUAAAGAGAAAACACACCUGAGGCAACAGUAAAGCC
ensembl:lncRNA